CCUUAAAAAAUGAAAUACAACUGUUCGGUAAAACUGUCUAUUUGCUUCCUAGACAAAGGAAAUGGGAACUUUCAAAGAGUAAAAAAAAUUUUAAACAACCCCCGCACGAACGUGCGCAAGAGGCUUUAAAGUCGUAAAACGUUAUCCUUUAAUGAUAUACUGAGCUAGCUCGACUGAGCACUAGUCAAGCCCCAGUGAAACGCAACAGAAUGCCGGCCACCUGCUUCGGUCGUAAGCAGACGGGGUACGGAGGAAAUAAGGUGGGAGCCACACAUUGCACUGGUGUAGGCACCACAUGAGGCGAAGUGCUAGCCUCAGGUUGCCAGUUUAUCCCCCGUUUAGAAUACAAUGCAUCACUGCAUAAUGUUUAUUUGUGCACCCUUAUUUAUUCUUUUCUCUCAUUUAAGCCGUGCAGACCAAGCCGUAGCAAUGUCAGCAUUGCAUGGCCAGGUGGUCAGCGCGUCUGUGCUCGAUACGUGCUGCCCUGGAGCGGUCAGCCGGGAGUCUAGCUGUGUGGAACCAGUACAAAUCAAGCUCACAACAUUCACCCCUAAAGCAAGCCCCGAUGAUCAGAGGCAGACGUCGUCUCCAUGCAUUUGUGCACCCUCUACUGUGCUGCCGACGCGAAGGUCUUCGCGCCCACAGGACUUGUACUGCACUGGCGGGGAGUCACCGAUCACUACCACGUGAAUGUCGAGAGAGUAGGAGGGUUUAUGCCCAGCUCAAGCAAACAGAAAGCCGAGCGACAGUCUGUGACGAAGACAUCAGUGACGUUUCGGCAGUCCUGCUGAUUCCUCUUAUUUCGCACAUGUGGGCGACGUCUUUUCCAACUGUUGCGUCAAAAGGAGGGAAUCAAAUCACGUGGACUUGUGCACCGAUGUUUCGUUAGCUGGAGAAACUCAUCUUUUCUUUUGGGGCACAAAUGGUGCCUAACUAUAUCGAUGUUUUUAAGUGAGAGUCCUAGGAUUUAUUCUGACAAUUUUCGACAAAAAGUGCGUUUAUAAACUAAACGAGAAGGCACCUGUCAGCGAAGACAUAAACAGCACAAAUAAAUGAUACAUUUGUAAACUAGAA
rnacentral:lncRNA from 1 species